rnacentral:rRNA from 1 species
GAUGAACGCUGGCGGCGUGCUUAACACGUGCAAGUCGAACGAAGCACUUUAUUUGAUUUCCUUCGGGACUGAUUAUUUUGUGACUGAGUGGCGGACGGGUGAGUAACGCGUGGGUAACCUGCCUUGUACAGGGGGAUAACAGUUGGAAACGGCUGCUAAUACCGCAUAAGCGCACAGCAUCGCAUGAUGCAGUGUGAAAAACUCCGGUGGUAUAAGAUGGACCCGCGUUGGAUUAGCUAGUUGGUGAGGUAACGGCCCACCAAGGCGACGAUCCAUAGCCGACCUGAGAGGGUGACCGGCCACAUUGGGACUGAGACACGGCCCAAACUCCUACGGGAGGCAGCAGUGGGGAAUAUUGCACAAUGGGCGAAAGCCUGAUGCAGCGACGCCGCGUGAGCGAAGAAGUAUUUCGGUAUGUAAAGCUCUAUCAGCAGGGAAGAUAAUGACGGUACCUGGCUAAGAAGCACCGGCUAAAUACGUG